AUUGAACGCUGGCGGCAGGCCUAACACAUGCAAGUCGAACGAGUGGCGGACGGGUGAGUAAUGUCUGGGAAACUGCCCGCUGGUGGGGGUUAACUACUGGACACGGUAGCUAAUACCGCAUACCAUCGGAUGUGCCCAGAUGGGAUUAGCUAGUAGGUGGGGUAACGGCGCACCUAGGCGACGAUCCAUAGCUGGUCUGUGAGGAUGACCAGCCACCCUGGAACGGAGACAAGAUCCAGACUACUACGGGAGGCAGGAGAGGGGAAUAUUGCACAAGGGGAGCAAGCCUGAUGCAGACCUGCCGCGUGUAUGAAGGAGGCCUUCGGGUUGUAAAGUACUUUCAGCGAGGAGGCGUUAUUCGAAGAAGAAGCACCGGCUAACUCCGUGCCAGCAGCCGCGGUAAUUC
rnacentral:rRNA from 1 species